UGGGGAAUAUUGGACAAUGGGCGAAAGCCUGAUCCAGCCAUGCCGCGUGUGUGAAGAAGGUCUUCGGAUUGUAAAGCACUUUAAGUUGGGAGGAAGGGCAGUAAGCUAAUACCUUGCUGUUUUGACGUUACCGACAGAAUAAGCACCGGCUAACUCUGUGCCAGCAGCCGCGGUAAUACAGAGGGUGCAAGCGUUAAUCGGAAUUACUGGGCGUAAGCGCGCGUAGGUGGUUUGUUAAGUUGGAUGUGAAAGCCCCGGGCUCAACCUGGGAACUGCAUCCAAAACUGGCAAGCUAGAGUACGGUAGAGGGUGGUGGAAUUUCCUGUGUAGCGGUGAAAUGCGUAGAUAUAGGAAGGAACACCAGUGGCGAAGGCGACCACCUGGACUGAUACUGACACUGAGGUGCGAAAGCGUGGGGAGCAAACA
rnacentral:rRNA from 1 species